rnacentral:rRNA from 1 species
AAUCAACGCUGGCGGCGUGCCUAACACAUGCAAGUCGAACGCGAGAGGGGCUUCGGCCCUGAUUGAGUGGCAAACGGGUGAGUAACGCGUGGGUGACCUACCUUCGAGUGGGGGAUAACGUUCCGAAAGGGACGCUAAUACCGCAUAACAUCCUGUCUUUGGACAGAUGGAGAUCAAAGCCGGGAUCGUAAGACCUGGCGCUUGAGGAGGGCCCGCGUCCGAUUAGCUAGUGGUGGGGAAUGGCUCACCAAGGCAACGAUCGGUAGCCGGCCUGAGAGGGCGGACGGCCACACUGGGACUGAGACACGGCCCAGACUCCUACGGGAGGCAGCAGUGGGGAAUUGUUCGCAAUGGGCGCAAGCCUGACGACGCAACGCCGCGUGAAGGAUGAAGGUCUCGGAUUGUAAACUUCUGUUGAUCGGGACGAACAGCCAAGGGA